rnacentral:rRNA from 1 species
AUUGAACGCUGGCGGCAGGCCUAACACAUGCAAGUCGAACGCGUGGCGGACGGGUGAGUAAUGUCUGGGAAACUGCCUGAUGGAGGGGGCUAACUACUGGAAACGGUAGCUAAUACCGCAUACCAUCGGAUGUGCCCCGAUGGGAUUAGCUAGUCGGUGGGGUAACGGCUCACCUAGGCGACGAUCCCUAGCUGGGCUGAGAGGAUGACCAGCCACACUGGAACGGAGACACGGUCCAGACUCCUACGGGAGGCAGCAGUGGGGAAUAUUGCACAAUGGGCGCAAGCCUGAUGCAGCCAUGCCGCGUGUAGGAAGAAGGCCUUCGGGUUGUAAAGUACUUUCAGCGGGGAGGCGGUACCCGCAGAAGAAGCACCGGCUAACUCCGUGCCAGCAGCCGCGGUAAUUC